rnacentral:sRNA from 1 species
UUCUCUCCCGGGCGGGGACCCCCUGUGGCCUCGGCCAUCUUUGCUCCCACCUCAUACAUUGCAUCCCUUUCAAGUCGGCCUUGGCCCUGGGCCUCACGCAGGCCCUCCCCACCCUCUCUCGUCUCCCCAGGGACCCCCACAGAAGAGACGUGGCCCGGCGUGACCGCCUUCUCUGAGUUCCGCACCUACAGCUUCCCCUGCUACCUCCCGCAGCCGCUCAUCAACCACGCGCCCAGGUUGGAUACGGAUGGCAUCCACCUCCUGAGCAGCCUGCUCCUGCACUGGAGUCCUGCUGCCCAGAGGGUUUGCAGCCCCCCAGCCGGGCCCAAUAGCCCCACCCUGUGCCUUUCAGUAUGAAUCCAAGAGUCGCAUGUCAGCAGAGGCUGCCCUGAGUCACUCCUACUUCCGGUCUCUGGGAGAGCGUGUGCACCAGCUUGAAGACACUGCCUCCAUCUUCUCCCUGAAGGAGAUCCAGCUCCAGAAGGACCCAGGCUACCGAGGCUUGGCCUUCCAGCAGCCAGGACGAGGGAAGAACAGGCGGCAGAGCAUCUUCUGAGCCACGCCCACCUUGCUGUGGCCAAG